rnacentral:rRNA from 1 species
GACGAACGCUGGCGGCGUGCCUAAUACAUGCAAGUAGAACGCACAGUUUAUACCGUAGCUUGCUACACCAUAGACUGUGAGUUGCGAACGGGUGAGUAACGCGUAGGUAACCUGCCUGGUAGCGGGGGAUAACUAUUGGAAACGAUAGCUAAUACCGCAUAAUACUGAUUAUUGCAUGAUAAUUGAUUGAAAGAUGCUAUUGCAUCACUACCAGAUGGACCUGCGUUGUAUUAGCUAGUAGGUGAGGUAACGGCUCACCUAGGCGACGAUACAUAGCCGACCUGAGAGGGUGAUCGGCCACACUGGGACUGAGACACGGCCCAGACUCCUACGGGAGGCAGCAGUAGGGAAUCUUCGGCAAUGGACGAAAGUCUGACCGAGCAACGCCGCGUGAGUGAAGAAGGGUUUCGGAUCGUAAAGCUCUGUUGUAAGAGAAGAACGGGUGUGAGAGUGGAAAGUUCACACUGUGACGGUAGCUUACCAGAAAGGGACGGCUAACUACGUG